rnacentral:rRNA from 1 species
GACGAAUGCUGGCGGCGUGCCUAAUACAUGCAAGUUGAGCGAUGAAGCUUGGUGCUUGCACCAAUUUGAAGAGCAGCGAACGGGUGAGUAACGCGUGGGGAAUCUGCCUUUGAGCGGGGGACAACAUUUGGAAACGAAUGCUAAUACCGCAUAACAACUUUAAACAUAAGUUUUAAGUUUGAAAGAUGCAAUUGCAUCACUCAAAGAUGAUCCCGCGUUGUAUUAGCUAGUUGGUGAGGUAAGGGCUCACCAAGGCGAUGAUACAUAGCCGACCUGAGAGGGUGAUCGGCCACAUUGGGACUGAGACACGGCCCAAACUCCUACGGGAGGCAGCAGUAGGGAAUCUUCGGCAAUGGACGAAAGUCUGACCGAGCAACGCCGCGUGAGUGAAGAAGGGUUUCGGAUCGUAAAACUCUGUUGGUAGAGAAGAACGUUGGUGAGAGUGGAAAGCUCAUCAAGUGACGGUAACUACCCAGAAAGGGACGGCUAACUACGUG